AAAAAAAAGAAGAGUCGAAAGAGAGGCUUCGAGCGAGAGAGAGGGAGAGGGACGAUUUAUUGCCGCCGUCAUCUCCUCCGUCAAGCGUUACCGGUGGAGUUAUGAAUGGAGAUCGUGGAGCCUCUGAAUUUUCGUUGACCUCUCAGAGUGACGAUUUGAUUCAGAUUGUUGAGGUAAUGCUUUAAAUCUCCCGCUUCUGCGUCGUCUUCCACCGCGGGUUGUGCCGCUGGUUCUGCUUUUCCUCCGGCGGCUUGAAGCACUCAGAGUGUGGUUUCGGCGCGAAUUCGAUGGUUCUAGCUGAGGAGAUCAAGAAGGCGAGCUAACGAGUAUCUGUAAGCUUCGAUUGAAGCUACGUUCAAAACUAUCAGAUCUCGUGGAACUGAUUUCACGUCGUGUGGAGUCAUUACAAUGAGGAUUUAUUCCUAAUUUUUUCUUGUCCUUUGCUUUCUUCAAUUCUUCAAAUUUUUUCAAAGAUAUUAGAUUUUGUGAUAAUUUGAUGAUAUAGUUUUGGCAAAAUUAUACACAAAUCCUGCUUCUUAUGUUCUAAUGUACUCUUCUCUUCUGUAAAUUUUUCAGGUCAAGGCAGAGGAUUUGAUAUAGAUUUAGUUAAGUUGAUUUGAUAUAUUAUAAAGGUAGUUGCUGGGCAUUCUCCUCCACUGGGGCCAUAGAAGGGAUAAAUGCAAUAGUAACUGGGGACCUUAUAAGCCUUUCAGAAUAAGAACUUGUGGAUUGUGACAAAACUAAUGAUGGAUGUGAGGGAGGGUACAUGGACUAUGCUUUUGAAUGGGAGGAAAACAAAGUUGUUAGCAUUGAUGGAUACAAUGAUGUGGCAAAAUCAGAUAGUGCUCUUCUGUGUGCUAUUGUGAAGCAACCUAUCAGUGCAGGGCAUCUAUGAUGGAGAUUGCUCAAGUAACCCAGAUGAUAUUGACCAUGCAAUAUUAAUAGUGGGAUAUGGAUCAGAGGGUGAUGAAGAUUACUGGAUAUGGAUCAAAGGGUAAUGAAGGAUGAGGU